rnacentral:tRNA from 1 species
GCCGAGGUGGCAGAGAGGUUAUGCGGCGGCCUGCAGAGCCGCUCCAUGGGGGUUCGAAUCCUCCCCUCGGCACCA